AUCGCUAAUACAGUUAGACUCCAUUGCUGAGUAAAAAGAAAAGAAAAUGUCAUUGGUGUUGAUUUUAAAAUAUUUAAUAGUCUUCCUUUAAAAUCCAAAAUAAUGUGAUUCUUACAAGUUAUGUGCCACAUAAAGCGGGUGUUAUUUUUUGAGAAAUGCAGGUGAUACUGAAAAACAUAGCACUGAGGUAUUUUUUAUUUUUAAAAUUGAGUAAGGAAACAAAGUCUGGAUCUAAUUAUUUUUACAUUUACAAAAAAAAAAAAAAAAAAACGAAAAACAAAACAAAACCAACCGAUGCUACUGCUUGGCUCUUUUGUUAUGAUUUUAGGUUCGGAAUACAUUACAAAAGUCUACGGGAAAGAGCAAUAUAAUAACAGUACAUGUAGUUUUAGAAAACUAUGCACAUCAUAACCUGGAGAAAUGAUCAUACACCAAGAGGCCUGAGUGGAGGUAGGCUAAUAAAACACGUUACCUCUUCUCAAAGGACAGCGCUGAAAAACAAGUGCAACCAAUUGUAACACCAAAUUGAAAUGGCAAUAUUAAGUUGGUAACAAAAUGAUCCACGUUUUAUGUAAUAUUGUACUUCCAAACACAGCUCAUGAAAAUCAGCAGAGAACCUAAGAUAGCACCAUUGAAACCAUUCAUUAUCCCUUUGUGCUUCGGUACAAUUUAGGAUUGGGGCAGAAAACAAUACCUACAAGAUGUCCAUCUCGUUUUUAUAAAUCAGUUUGGAUUUCAAUUCAAUGUUUGCUUUAGGAAAAGUACGUAUUCUUAAGAUCAGUUAGCCAUGUACAUACAGCUCUGCCUUUUUGGAAGUUAAGACAAUGGGCUACAUCUAAUUUUUAUCUAACACCAAGAACCAAGCAGUAAGGACAGCAAUGUCAAGAGUAGCACAACCAAGAACCACACAGAACAUUAGAAAGAAUUUGGUGUAUGUUUUUACAGCUACUAACUGAUGUUAACAGUUAAAAAUUUACAAAGAUAAAACUUUUUUGCACUAACUGGUUUCAACACAGCACUGAAUGUGACUCAUCUUUGGGCUUCCAUCUCUACAGAGAGUAAAUGUGCAAGUGCCAUACUGAGGCUCUUCCCCAACUUACGCCAUAGUAAAACAGAUUCCAAAAUAAUUCUAGAAUGGUCUAAAGUUACAGCUGUUCUAGCUGACACGGGGGGGGGGGGGGGGAAGACAUUUCCUGGCCAACUUUGUUUUGCUUGAUGAUUGUCUAGGUACAUAAUACAUCAAUCUAAGGAUAAUAGAGCUUUCUCUACUAACUCUUUAGUACUGGCACAACCAUUGCCAGCAGUGAAUUUGCACCAGUACAGAAUAACUCAAAACACACAUAAAACAUUUGAAUGUCAUUUUUUAAGCGAUGUCACAGUUUGUUUCCUCAGAAAUGAAAGCAUACAUUUGAAACACAUUUUCAUUUUAAGCCUCAGAGUUAAACAUGUUCUACAUCAUUAAAUCCAACUUGUGGCUGACGUGCUUUGGUUAUCAUUCUCUGAGGGGUCCCGAAAGCUAGAUGGUACACGCCGCUGGAGGCCUGUGGGACUCAAGAGCUCCUCGGAGAGCCCUAGAAUGGAGAAUUCUGUUCCGAUGUAUACUAGCUAAGAAGUAUCCUCCAACUUGUAGGCUUCAAAUGUCCCAACACUACUUGAGUGGCUAGUACUGUGUAUGAAGGCUUUGUUUUUGUAGAGCCAAGCAACAGUACCCCAAAGACAGCAAACAGUUUUUGUAGGAGAGUACAGUGCACAUACAUUGUUCCACCUGUAUUUAAGGACUUGAAAUGGGUUUUACUAUGGACAUGAUAGUGACAGCCAUUCGAAGAUGCCGAUCUUCUUACUAACAUUUCCCCAAAUGGGCAGAACAGAGGCAAUGUGUGCCACUGGUUCUGUCCUACUGGCCUUUGGCUGCAUUGGGGAAGUAAUCCUAUAAAAAGUACCCACAAAAUAGAAAAGGCAGCAAGUGAAACUAGAAAAAAGGUUGGAGCUAUACAAAGCAGAUUUGGAAGGAGUUACCUUUAUUUUUUCUUAAAUGAGUUGAGAACAGGAGGGAAGUGCCAGGGCAUCCUGCUUUGGGCCCUCCACUGCCGUCCUGAAGUAAAACAGAUUUGGAUUGGCCCAGGGACCGUCCUGGUGAGGGCUGGAGACUGCGCCCCCAGAUAGAGGAGCCAGUUCUUUUAAGUAGAAGAUUACGAAGCAGAACAAAACAAACCACAAAUUAAAUACAUGACACUGUGAAAUCACUCUGAUGAGAAAACAACACAGAUAUUUAAAAAUAUAAAUAAAUACAUUUAGCCAUUUUCAUUCAACAAACCCAGAGAACUGCUUUCAAAGCAAUUGCCUCUUUAAAAUCACAUUCUAAAUUCUUCCAUAAAUACUCACUACUUUGAUUGUCACUGAAUGCAGCACCUCAGUGUUUGCUGGUGGUGGUGAUGGGAUUCCACUUCAACAGUCUCUUCAUAAACUAUAUCCUACUUCACUAAACGUUUCCCUAGGAAGACCCAGGCAGCUUACAAAAAUAUUGUUAAAUACUCAAAGCAGAACCUGCAAAGUAUUAUUUUAUUUAAGAAAAACAAGGAAUGUAGUGUUAAAUUAUGACAAGGGGGAAAAUAUGCAAAACAGUCACAUGGAAACAAAGUUUUAAUUUUUAAAUGUCCACAUUUGCUGAAUUUCUUGUGAGCUGUUCAAUACUGUGUUAAAUAUCCUGAAUUAAUAACUAUACCAACAAAAUUCAUCCCCUGUGUUUCCACAGGAGACAUAUUUAAAAUAAGACCAAAUUAUACUUUUCUUCAACUGAAGUUGUCUUUUUCUCAGUCCUUUUUGUGCAAAAGAGAUUAUAAGAGCAGUUCAAAUGGAAACGCUGAAAUGACAUGCCAACAUUUCAGAGCACAUUUAAAACACCCAGAAGAAUUCUUGAAAUUAUCAUAUUCUAAAAUAUUACUACCAGUCACUUUUAGGUUAGUUCUAUACAUCUAUUCACACUGAUGCAACUGUCCUAGGCCUCUGAAAAUAAACAGGCUCAUUGGUCUCUUUUGGUGUCCACACACUAGGCAAGACAGGUUUACAAUAGUGUCGAAACGGAACUAGCCAUCUACAAUCUCCUGACUCCGCCACAUUCAGAACCAAAGUCAAAGUUCACUUGGCUACCUUGAAAUCACUCCCAGAAACCUGCUACGGUUCACUGGAUCUAAACAUUUCUCAGAAAUGUAUCAUUUUAAAAUUUCACCUAAGUGAUGAUUUGGGGAUCCUUUAGAAAUGGUAAUGCUUAAGAUAAUAAACUUUAUCAAAAUGAAUAGUUGCAAUAAAGUGCUUGUUACAUUUCAAAAUGAUGCUUUCAGACUGUGGUUAUGUUGUUUUCGAAGUGUGUGCUAUUCCUACAGAAAGGAUCCCCAGGCAUGAGAGUUGGGUGGUCUCACCUGUCUCAGAAAGCAGCAGCGCUAUCUUUUGGUAGGCUGACGAUAGGCACGUUACCCAUGCGGAUGAGGCUAUACUAGUGCUAUGGCAAAAGGGGGAGUAAAUUAGAAAAGUGGAGGCAUGUGGAGGGUUCCUACCAUAUUCAUAGUUAUAUACAAAUAUAUUAAAUAUGCUAUAAAAAUAGUCGACUCUUUUCCUUUGCAUUUAUUUCAGAAGCUCCUUUUAGAGGAAUGCUCACCCAACCCAAACAAACUUAAAAGGGUCUCUCUCUCCAAUCGCUAAUUAAAAUGGCAAGUGCCUUUGUGCUGUUCCUUUUCCACCAUUUGAAAAUUCCAAUCUGCUCACUCCUGGCUAGACUCACUCAGCAAUAGUAAUAUCCAGUGUUUAUACCUUCCAACACUGACUCCCAAGGGACUAGGAAUAGGAUCACAGAUAUUGGAAAGGUUGGUUAUAGACUUGAAUGAGUUUCCCACAAAUGUCCAUCAUCAACAAACUCAAUCACCAAAGAAAUAGAGAAAAAGAAAAAAAGGAGAAACGAGCAAUACCAAAGUAAAAUGCUAUUUGCAUUCCACUUUAAAAAAAGGAAAAGGUUUACCUCACUGUAGUGGAAACAUUAGAAAUCAAGUUGAAUAAUAUCCAGCUGAAAAUAAUUUUCACCACUGUGGAGCCGGAGAAAGAGUACUAUUUCGAGGGGCCCCUUUCUAAGGCCUCUUGAACAAAGGUUCAUCUCCCUUCACUGCAAUGCCCUGCAUGGAGCUGCACUGCUUCAGUGCCCUUAACUAACUGCAAGCAGACCGCUUUAAGGCAAUGACCAAAGACUCUUAGCACUUCUGAAGAAUGCAAAUAACAUUUUCACUCUUCUGCACUAAGUAUUCUGUAACCACCUAUUCAAAGUCACUGGCAUAUUUUAUUACUAGUACAUUCCUAAACCAGAUGUAAGUAACAAA